AUUGAACGCUGGCGGCAUGCUUUACACAUGCAAGUCGAACGAGCGGCGGACGGGUGAGUAAUGUCUCGGAACCUGCCCGAUCGAGGGGGAUAACUGAUGGAAAGGGCAGCUAAUACCGCAUACGAUUCGAGCUGCCGAUGCACGAUUAGCUAGUUGGUGAGGUACAGGCUCACCAGGGCGACGAUCGUUAGCUGGUAGGAGAGGACGACCAGCCACACUGGGACUGAGACACGGUCCAGACUCCUACGAGAGGCAGCAGUGGGGAAUAUUGGACAAUGGGGGCAACCCUGAUGCAGCCAUGCCGCGUGUGGGAUGAAGGCCUUCGGGUUGUAAACUGAUUUCGUCAGGGAAGCGGUACCCGAAGAAUAAGCACCGGCUAACUCCGUGCCAGCAGCCGCGGUAAUAC
rnacentral:rRNA from 1 species